AGAUUGAACUGAAGAGUUUGAUCCUGGCUCAGAUUGAACGCUGGCGGGAUGCUUUACACAUGCAAGUCGGACGGCAGCACGGGCUUCGGCCUGGUGGCGAGUGGCGAACGGGUGAGUAAUGUAUCGGAACGUGCCCAGUAGCGGGGGAUAACUACGCGAAAGCGUGGCUAAUACCGCAUACGCCCUACGGGGGAAAGCGGGGGACCUUCGGGCCUCGCACUAUUGGAGCGGCCGAUAUCGGAUUAGCUAGUUGGUGGGGUAACGGCCUACCAAGGCGACGAUCCGUAGCUGGUUUGAGAGGACGACCAGCCACACUGGGACUGAGACACGGCCCAGACUCCUACGGGAGGCAGCAGUGGGGAAUUUUGGACAAUGGGGGCAACCCUGAUCCAGCCAUCCCGCGUGUGCGAUGAAGGCCUUCGGGUUGUAAAGCACUUUGGCAGGAAAGAAACGGCACGGGCUAAUAUCCUGUGCAACUGACGGUACCUGCAGAAUAAGCACCGGCUAACUACGUGCCAGCAGCCGCGGUAAUACGUAGGGUGCAAGCGUUAAUCGGAAUUACUGGGCGUAAAGCGUGCGCAGGCGGUUCGGAAAGAAAGAUGUGAAAUCCCAGGGCUUAACCUUGGAACUGCAUUUUUAACUACCGGGCUAGAGUGUGUCAGAGGGAGGUGGAAUUCCGCGUGUAGCAGUGAAAUGCGUAGAUAUGCGGAGGAACACCGAUGGCGAAGGCAGCCUCCUGGGAUAACACUGACGCUCAUGCACGAAAGUGUGGGGAGCAAACAGGAUUAGAUACCCUGGUAGUCCACGCCCUAAACGAUGUCAACUAGCUGUUGGGCCUUCGGGCCUUGGUAGCGCAGCUAACGCGUGAAGUUGACCGCCUGGGGAGUACGGUCGCAAGAUUAAAACUCAAAGGAAUUGACGGGGACCCGCACAAGCGGUGGAUGAUGUGGAUUAAUUCGAUGCAACGCGAAAAACCUUACCUACCCUUGACAUGUCUGGAAUCCCGAAGAGAUUUGGGAGUGCUCGCAAGAGAACCGGAACACAGGUGCUGCAUGGCUGUCGUCAGCUCGUGUCGUGAGAUGUUGGGUUAAGUCCCGCAACGAGCGCAACCCUUGUCAUUAGUUGCUACGAAAGGGCACUCUAAUGAGACUGCCGGUGACAAACCGGAGGAAGGUGGGGAUGACGUCAAGUCCUCAUGGCCCUUAUGGGUAGGGCUUCACACGUCAUACAAUGGUCGGGACAGAGGGUUGCCAACCCGCGAGGGGGAGCCAAUCCCAGAAACCCGGUCGUAGUCCGGAUCGCAGUCUGCAACUCGACUGCGUGAAGUCGGAAUCGCUAGUAAUCGCGGAUCAGCAUGUCGCGGUGAAUACGUUCCCGGGUCUUGUACACACCGCCCGUCACACCAUGGGAGUGGGUUUUACCAGAAGUAGUUAGCCUAACCGCAAGGGGGCGAUUACCACGGUAGGAUUCAUGACUGGGGUGAAGUCGUAACAAGGUAGCCGUAUCGGAAGGUGCGGCUGGAUCACCUCCUUU
rnacentral:rRNA from 1 species